UUUCAUUUCGUUCGACGCAUUGGCAUCGACUGGAUCGCGGGUUCGCCAAGGGGGCAACGUGGCGUAGUUGGCUACACGUUCGCUUCAUAAGCGGAUCGUCAUGGGUUUGAUUCCCAGCACCUCAACAAAAAACUUCGUCAGUUCGCUUGAAAACUACACGAGCUACACCCGUCCCACACCAUGGCCGUCUGAAAGCGGACUGACAACUGACCCUCUUCUGAGCGAACAUGCUCUAAUGUACCUGGAUAACAUAACGAUCGACCAACGGCAAGGAAUAAUGGACUUAUCUCUGGACUCUCUCUGGAAAAGCAGGAACAUCGGAUCAGAUCCACAAAUAGAUUUAAUCGAUAAAGCAGAAAGAACAACUGUCAAAAUUUGGAUUCGCUCUGGUGAUGCCCAAGCUGGCGAAUAAGAGCUCAAUAGAUUAAGUAAAUGGAGAAUAAAAAAACAGGUUCGCCAUCCGUGAACUUCUCUGGAAUUCAAAAAUAAAGACUCGCAUAAACUACA